ensembl:lncRNA LINC02725 long intergenic non-protein coding RNA 2725
CAGAGGAUGGAAUGCUUCACCAGGAGACACAAGAAUAAUUUCCUUGACCUGGGAGUUAAGACUGCCACCCAGCCACCUUGUGCUCUCCAUGCUGCUGAUUCAACAGGCAAAUAAGGAAGUUAUGGUGUGGGCUACAGUGAUUGAUCUGACUAACAAGAGGGAAAUUGCUCCACCAUGGGGGUGAGGGAGAGUACAUCUGGAAUACAGAAGUUCCCUUAGGACACCCUUAGUGUUCCCACACAUUGCGAUUAAGGCCAGUGGAAAACUACAAUAACUCAGUUCAGGCGGAACAACUCAUGGGGCAGAAUCUUCAAGGAAUGAAGAUUUGAGUCCUUCUACCAGGUUUUGCAGAGUGCCUCCAGAAAUAAAAGUGUUACAAAAGAAUCACUUCAGAAAACCUACACUUAGAGAGUCCAUUUGAAAAUUGCCCUAUUUGAAAUGAAGUGGAGAUCAGUAAUAACAAGGACUUCCCCAUAUAACCCAAGGUCCUACUGGGUUAGUGUGAUCUUCUGCGGAAGGCUGCAGCUGCUGUCAGGAGGCCCUCUGUCUACACUCCUCUCUGGAGAAGUGUCCCUUUUAAACUGAAGCAUAGUGAGAACAAGUGUAAAGCACAACACAGACGGAAGAUUGCACCUUAGCUCACUGCCCCGUGCACCCCGGUUACACCGUCUAAGAAAACACUCUGGAUUCAAUCCUUGGAAAAUUUGUCUCCAUGAGGUCAUACAGCUGCUUGAGGUUGCUCGGAGAGUAAGAAGCAGAAUGAGAACUAGAACAGAAGCUCACUUUGGCCUGAAGGCUCAUGUGCUGAGCAUCUUCCCUUGUCUGUCUCCACCCCUAGCCUGGUGCCCAGCAUGUAGAAGACCUUCAUCCUAGAUGCAAUGGGAUUAAACUUGGAGAAAAUGGGAUUAAACUUGGACAAACACUACCUAUUUGGACUUGUGAUGAUGGCUUUCAAACUUCUUAAAGCAAUGAAGUAUUUUUUCCAGAAGAAACCUUACACAAGAAGCCCAGCACACUGAGUCAAGCAUAUGUAGGUGGAAGAUAUCUGGUUGAGACCAAGUAGAGAUAAACCUGUAGAUUCAACUGUGCCACCACAGUGAAUUCUAAGAAUCCACUGACUGUGAUCUGUAAGCUCCUACUCCACAGGAGGUCAGGGCACACAGCUUGAAACCGGAAGGCAGAAGAGUGACAGGGAAGGGUCAUGGACUCUGAAAUUAGAGCUAUCUGUGUUUUAAUACUAGUUCCAAUAGGCACAUGGUCUUGGAUAAAUGGUUUAAAUUAUCUGAGUCUCAAUUUCUUUCUCUGCAAAAAGGGAUGAUUAGUACAUAUGUAAUAGGGUUUUUAUAGAAAAUUGUAUAACUUGUUAAACACACAUGUACUAAGUGCUUGGUGCCCAGUAUGCACUGAAUAAAUGCUAGCUCCUUGCCUUUCAUCUCUAUGACCCUUCCCAAAUCUCUCAGCCCCAUAUUGCUUCAUGUAGUGUGUGUAUAUUUGGGAAAAUUUGUGUGCAUAUUUACAGAUGGGAUCCUACUCUUCUAUUGACAGACUGUCUUUUCAGAUGUGCCUUACUUUCAUUGCAUUGGUUUUUCAACUGAAAGUGAACAUAAAGGUUUUAAGCA